rnacentral:misc_RNA from 1 species
GAUGAAGAACGUAGCGAAAUGCGAUAAGUAGUGUGAAUUGCAGAAUUCAGUGAAUCAUCGAAUCUUUGAACGCACAUUGCGCCCCUUGGUAUUCCAUGGGGCAUGCCUGUUCGAGCGUCAUUUGUACCCUCAAGCUCUGCUUGGUGUUGGGUGUUUGUCUCGCGUUGCGCGUAGACUCGCUUAAAGCGAUUGGCAGCCGGCAUAUUGGCCUUGGAGCGCAGCACAUUUUGCGCAUCAAACCAAGAAUGUUGGCGUCCAACAAGCCUAUACAUUUGCUCUUGACCUCGGAUCAGGUAGGGAUACCCGCUGAACUUAAGCAUAUCAAUAAGCGGAGGA